AAUAGAUACCCUGGUAGUCCACGCCGUAAACGAUGAGUGCUAAGUGUUAGAGGGUUUCCGCCCUUUAGUGCUGCAGCUAACGCAUUAAGCACUCCGCCUGGGGAGUACGGUCGCAAGACUGAAACUCAAAGGAAUUGACGGGGGCCCGCACAAGCGGUGGAGCAUGUGGUUUAAUUCGAAGCAACGCGAAGAACCUUACCAGGUCUUGACAUCCUCUGACAACUCUAGAGAUAGAGCGUUCCCCUUCGGGGGACAGAGUGACAGGUGGUGCAUGGUUGUCGUCAGCUCGUGUCGUGAGAUGUUGGGUUAAGUCCCGCAACGAGCGCAACCCUUGAUCUUAGCUGCCAGCAUUUAGUUGGGCACUCUAAGGUGACUGCCGGUGACAAACCGGAGGAAGGUGGGGAUGACGUCAAAUCAUCAUGCCCCUUAUGACCUGGGCUACACACGUGCUACAAUGGAUGGUACAAAGGGCUGCAAGCCGCGAGGUCAAGCCAAUCCCAUAAAACCNUUCUCAGUUCG
rnacentral:rRNA from 1 species